ACACCUCGGAAAGCUAAUGCAGUUUUAUCUGUCUAAAGAUUUUGGACUUCUGCAAUUUCAAAGUUUCCCAGAAGGAGGAGGAGGAGAAGAAAUGGGCAAGGACAUUUGCCCAUGGGAUAGCUUAGAACGUGGAGGAUGCAUUAGAAAUAGACAAAAGUACAUUGUCUGUGAUGAGGGUGAAUAUAUUAUUCAUUUUCCUUAUAAAAAGAGUGAAAUGUAACACUAUUGUAAGAAUACUUCCCAUUCCUCUCAGGAUGAAGUCAUAGGAGAAGGCCCUCCUCUGAGGAUCUUAGAACUCAAGCAAGCUCCUUCUGACUGUAAGAGCUGUUUAGCAGUGGAACUCUCUGCCUCAGACUGUGGUGGAAGCUUCUUCUUUGGAGGCUUUUAGAAAAGAGGCUGGAUGGCUAUCUGUCAGGGGUACUUUGAUGGUGCUUUUCCUGCAUGGCAGAGGGUUGGACUGGAUGGUCCAUGUGUUUUCUUCCAGCUCUAUUAUUCUAUGAUUCUGUAAGUGGAGAUGCAGUCCUUAGAAUAUCCUGGAUCUGACCCAUAUAGAGCUUUAGUGAAUUGUGUUUGGAAACAAACUGGCAGCCAGUGGAGCUGAUGCAACAAGAGUAAUGUAUGUUUCCUGCAUGCUUCUUUGAAAGGCAAACUUUUUUUUGUAGCUGGCUUGUUAAAAUGACUAAUGUCAUGAAAGAUCCAGACUGUUCAGCAGGCCUUUGUCUUCUAAACGUUUGAACUUCUCUCCCCACACCCCAACCCGUGUAUGUACAGUUGAGUAAGUAUCUAUUUGUAACUGAAGCAGCAUAUCAUUUUAUUGUAUUUAAACAGAAAAAAGCUUAUCACAGGCGAUAAUGCAUGGGUAUUGCUUUGACAACUCUGUUGACACGAGCCCUCAUGUGAAAGUCAUUAUGAAGCUGCUGGAGUGGGGUGGAGGAGACGGUGGACAUAUUUAUUCCCUGAUAGAACAUUUGGAAUAGGCAGCAAGGGUGUCUGUUGGACUUUGUGCAUCUCACUUGGAAGCACAGCUAACAAAGGCCAGAUGGAGUGAGGUGGCUUCGCAUCCUCCGUCAGUACUGAUGGAAACGUUCAGGACGGGAGGUUGAAGCUUUUUGUACACACAGUUCUAUGAUGAGAACCACAUUUGGGAAAUUUCUUUGCUUUUGGAAGCUGAAUAGAAUCAAUGGCUUCUUGGAUAUUUAAAGCCAAACAUGCUGUGAAAGUGAGAAAACUAUGAGUAUAAAAUCCCUUUUUAAAACCCGAAAACACCUCUUUAGAAAUCUCUAGAUCCUCCUUGCUUUA
rnacentral:lncRNA from 1 species